rnacentral:rRNA from 1 species
GGCGAACGGGUGCGUAACACGUGAACAACCUGCCCUCGUGUGGGGGAUAGCCAUGCUAACGCGUGGGUAAUACCGCAUACGUUCCUCGAGAGGAGUCUCUUGGGGAGGAAAGCUCCGGCGCACGGGGAGGGGUUCGCGGCCUAUCAGCUAGUUGGGGGGGUAACGGCCUCCCAAGGCGACGACGGGUAGCUGGUCUGAGAGGAUGGCCAGCCACAUUGGGACUGAGAGACGGCCCAGACUCCUACGGGAGGCAGCAGUGGGGAAUCUUGCGCAAUGGUCUAACGACUGACGCAGCGACGCCGCGUGUGGGAGGACGCCUUUCGGGGUGUAAACCACUGUUGCCCGGGACGAACAGCCUUAUUCGUAAGGUCUGACGGUACCGGGUGAGGAAGCACCGGCUAACUCCGUGCCAGCCGCCGCGG